AUGUCUCUAUGUUUCAUUCAAUUCACCUUUUUUCUACUUUUCCUUUUCUCUCUCCAUCUAAAUCAAUGCCUCAAAAACAAAAUUUACCUAAAGUGAUGAGAGAAUCCUCUCUCCUACCUUACACAUAAAUAAAUUCAUAAACUAUUAUCCGAAAGUGCGACUAUGAAAAACUAUUACAUCUCCUCGACCAAUCCUUCUCUUCAAAAAUUGUUUGUAUUUUUCUUCCUUUGUGCGAUAUUCCAUGUUCCAACGUUCGAAUAGCUCCAUGAAACAUAGAGGAUGACCACUACCCUUAACAGAGGAUUCGUAACUUUUGUUGGGCAGCUUAAAGGGGU
rnacentral:lncRNA from 1 species